ensembl:lincRNA
CAGAUCUUAAAGAUUUUCCGGAAGACAAUCUUGCUCUUCAACUGAGAAUCCUAUUUAAAUCGUAACCCUUGCAACCUUAGGCCAGUGAGGCUGCUUCUGUCUGAGAGAAGUAAUUAUUCAUCAACUUCCAUAAUUACAAAAUCUUAGAGCAGGCAAAGACCAUAUGGAGGUUGUUGAGUCCAACUUGAUUACUCAGAAGAAAAAUAGACACUAAUGUUGGGUUUCUGCAAAACCCAGUUUCCUUUCUACUUUAAUAUCUAGCAUUCUAUAUUUGUGAAGUUAAUAUCUUAGAUUAAGAAAAAAUUCAUCCUUGCACUCACCCGAACACGUAGCCUCACCUUAUGACAUCAUAGUCACCAUAGCAACACCCGUGAGUUGGCAGCAUAUUGCCUUCAGUGAGGGAUCAUGGCAAUGAGUUAACAAAGGAUGGCAGCUUCAGAUGUUGAUGUGAACAGGAAGGGAAGAAGUGGAAAAGGAGGAACAGCCUAUUUUGGAUGUGUGCCUACCUUUCGAAGAAUAAGAGGCACCAACACAAUGAGAUAUACUCAUUGGCUUGUUGGAUUCCUGAACCCAUCAAUGGUAGAGCGAGAAGAGUCAGCAUGAUUUACUAAAAACAAGAUUUCUCAACCACCGCACUAUUGACAUUUAGGAACCAGUCAAUUCUUGGUCCUGGGGGUGCUAUUCUGAACACUGAAGAAGCAUUAUCCCUAGCUUGCUAGAUGACAGUAGCACUCCUCACCAGUUAUGACAAAUAAAAAGAAUCUCCAAACAUUGCCGUAUGUUCUCUUGGGGGUAAAGUUGUCCCUGGGUUGAGAACCACUGGAUAGGACCAAUAAACUUGAACAUUUGAGAAUCAAUCACGAUGUCCACCAUAAUUAACAAUCCCUCUCUUGACUAAUUUUCUCCUUUACAAAAUAAACUUUUUAAGUUGUAAGUUUUAUUUUAAAAUGUCCAUUUUACUUACAAGGUCUUUAUCAUAGUAUGCCAAGACUAUUGCACAGUAACAGGUCUUGUUGAUGUUUGCUUCAAAAAUGUCAGAAUGUGGAGUGUGCACUGGCUGCAUGUCAUCUAAAUAUCAUCCUGUUUUUGCUUCACACUAACCAUGCUAGUCUCCAAUAAGGUGCCUUUUCAGUAUCCCAAAAGGUGCUCUUUGAGGAGAGCAACCUGUCUGGGGAUAUUCACUGGCAUUGAGAGAAAGAGAGGAAAAUGGAGAGAGAAAAGAAAAUGAGAGGGGGAAAUGUGACAUUCGUAGCAAGCAAUGUUAUUCCUACUCAUUAGAAUAGUUAUCUUUUUUUCAGCUGGGCGCAGUGGCUCAUGCCUGUAAUCCCAGCACUUUGGGAAGCUGAGGCGGGUGGAUCACAAGGUCAGGAGAUCAAGACCAUCCUGGCCAACAAGGUGAAACCCCGUCUGUACUAAAAAUACAAAAAUUAGCUUGGCGUGCUGGUGCAUGCCUGUAGUCCUAGCUACUUAGGAGGGUGAGGCAGGAGAAUUGCUUGAACCCAGCAGGCGGAGAUUGCAGUGAGCUGAGAUCAUGCCACUGCACUCCAGCCUGGGUGACAGCCUGAGACUCCGUCUCAAAAAAAAAAAAAAAAAAAAAAAAAGAAUAGUUACCUUUUUUUCUUGGCUUUCAUUCCAUAAACACUGUGUUCAUAGGGCACUGUGUUCAAUGUUUUACAUGCAUUAUCUCAUUUAAUCUACAAUAAUACAUGUAAUUUAAGCAUUUG